UCCUUCUCUUGAAGCCCCGUUCAGUUGGACGACUUUGACUCUUACAUGGCGGAGAUGUCGCGGGAUUCCGACUAUAAGUUUUCUCUGCAGUUUGAGGAACUGAAAAUGAUUGGUCUGGAUAUCGAGCAUUGCGCCGCAGAACUGGCGGCCAACCGUUGCAAGAACCGCUACACAAACAUAUUGCCGUAUGAUUUCAGCCGAGUGAAGCUGAUCACCAGAGAGGACGAGGAGGAGGGGG